rnacentral:lncRNA from 1 species
AAGCUGGUGUAAGUAUAAUUUUCUGGGUCAACAUCUAUCUUAAGUUUUGCAAGAAGCUUAUUCUUGAAGACAAGUAGGGGUGGAGAGGAAGCAACUGCAUGAUGGCUUUCUCCUUAAAACUCAGUCAUGUACAUGAAAACAAUUUGGGUCUUUUUACCAAGGCAAUUUGUCAACAAAACUAAAUUCAAGUUUUGUUUCCUCCAAGUUCUUGCAGGAACUAAAAUAAUUUCCUCUUACUACUGGGACUCUGCCAGUGAAAACCAACUGGAUCUUUCUUCUGCCUGAAGAAAGAUCCAGAACAAAUCAUCCAUCAUAAACAUGAAGGAAAAUUGAACUUAUUUAUAGAACAGAACUCAUUUGCCCCAUCAUGAGAUGCGUAUUUUAAAGAUACUGAAUCUACAAGUGAUAAAUCAAGCAGUUUCGAGGAUCUGCCAAGUUCUCAAGUGCUUUACGAAGAAGACUAUUUUGAGAUUUCCAGGGAAAUGUCUUCACUACAAAGCUUGAAGACUGUAAACAUCACUAUUAGAAUUAUUUUUCAGGUACUUGAAACUGUCUUUCUGAUGAAAAUGUGCUUGGCCUAUGGAUGAAAUAAGCUGAUCAUCCAAAUGGACAGAUUUUUCAGGUCUUCAACUGUUCCAACUGUUCCACUCCCAGCAGACUAUCCCAUAGUGAGAUGCUUAACACACACUCAUUCUCAGAGGGGGAGCGAUGGCUUAAUCAAGCACGAGGGUGACUGCAAAGAUUUCUGUUGCUCCAGUGCUGGCUUUACUUCAGAUAAAUGAAUCUCUUCACCUCCAAGAGCAGCUUUUCUUCCCAC